rnacentral:tmRNA from 1 species
GGGGUCGACUGGUUUUGACAGCGAGUUGUAUUAAACUGUAAGCACGUCGCGUAACGACAUUGACACGCGUAAAAGGCUAUGUCAAAUUUUAAACGGCGAGAAUAACUACGCUUUAGCUGCAUAAUCUGAAUUAUAGUAAGAUUAGCUUCAUUCCUACUAGGUAGGAAAGCUUUAUGUCUCCUGAAAGCCUUAAUUAACGGCGUUCAAUUUUGAGAUAUCGUAAAAGUUAAUUUAGAAAGUAAACUGCUUUGAUUUGCUUUUGAAACUUAAGAAGCUAAGUUAUGAGUGGAUUGUUUUUAAUCAGCUUAUAAUCGAAAAUUAAUUAAAAACUAAACGUGUAGAAAGCUCUUUGGUAGCUUGUUUGGACGAGGGUUCGAUUCCCUCCGACUCCACCU